rnacentral:lncRNA from 1 species
GAUCGUGUACAAUGACCAUCCAGGUUAGGAAGGGACCUCCCGGAUUCUUCAGUGUGUGUGCUGUACCUGUCUUGGUUGCAGACAAACUGAGAGGGACUCAGGAAUCACCCCCUCUUCCCCUCACCACCUUCCACAUUCUUCCCCAUUUUCCCAGAAUUUCUUUCACUUAACACCUAGGCCCCUUCGCACUUUCACCCUCUGCCUCUCCCUGGGAGUGAUUUAUUCCACUUCCUCUGCCCCUUGAACUCUGGAAUCUCCCUCUGGGUUUGGUUGAGAGACAACCUCCUCCCCAGGUGUCAGACCUGAUGCCUGACCCUGAUGCCAACGAGACCCUCUUUUCUUAGCCAGUGACACUGUCAGUAUAGUAGAUGCCAUUGGCUGGGGUAAGCCUCCUGUGACAGGAACUGACUGGAUGGCUCCUGUAGUCCCCCACUGGCCUGUGACCAAUGCUGCUGUAGAAUUUAGGCUAUACACUAAUGCUGCUAAUUUGGCUUUUAAACAAGCGGUCUCAGAAAGAGGCGAACAUCUACUCAUCAAAAGAUAAUAACAUGUUUGCGAGUACAAAUAACUAAAUAGAUGCAAAUGAAGACACCCCCUCAGGUUGGCUUUUCAUCUUUUAGAUUGCCUGAAGUUUGCAGUACGGACGCUGAGGAGGUCGGUGACCCCAGUUGCUGUCUUGCUGCAGGGAUCCUUCAAAACCGACUUGACAGGCUCUGCCAAAAGUUUAACUGUGCAAAGCUUUUGAUAAAGUCACCCCUGGGAAUUUUAUUUCUUACACAGAAGUACACAUAAAUGUAUUUAACAGGGCACUGUCCCCAAUAAGGAAAAGAGAGCAAGCCAAUACAUGCUCAACAAAGGGAGACAGUUUAACUGUCAAAGUCAGUUUAGAGGAGUGUUUAAAGGAUUUUUUUUUUCAGUGAGAUACAGACCCUUAUGCUUGUAUGAAGCCUUCCUCACAGCAGAAAAAACCAUCUAAGUGUUUUCCCUCUAUUUCUGCAUUUUUUUAGACAGGGCCUCCCUUGAUAGCCCAUGUUGACUGGAAACUCACUAUGGAGUCUUGAAUUUUUGAUCCUCCUGCUUCAGGCCACAGGCAUUCACCACUAGUCCAUGCCCAGGUGUAAUGUAAAGAUAUGCAUAUAUGUUUAUGUAUAUAAUAUAUUGUGGAAGAGUUCGCAGAAACUCUUAGUAGUAUUAGCUCUGGGGAGAGUGCCUGGAACCGGGGGUAGGACACUCACAUGUGCUCUUCUUAAGUGUUUGCCUGUUUUGGUAAGGGUGUAGAUUUAGAUUGCAGUGUUUAUGAAAAGGAAAACUAUUUUUUAAAUAAUUGAUGAGAGGAGCUAGAAAAUUUGGGAAUCAAACUAAAAUAGCAAGGUUCAUCACUCACCCAACAUGGCCAUAUUAUUUAUAGACUAGACAAUGAUUUUCCUUAGAAGGAUAGCUUCUUUGGGUGUCCCGUGGCCUUCAAACUCUGCCCAAGGUCAUUUGCUAACAGGAGGAGGGAGGAAGUCCUUGCACCACGUACAGGGAACGCCUGGAGAAAGGCCUGGAUUCUCAGAGUCAGUAAAAGGAGGGUUUGCUCAUCUUAUUACAGAUUUCAGCUUGAGGUUUAGAAAUUGUGAUCCCCAUUGUGCAAUUGAGGAAACAGGGUCAGAAACCGAGGUGCCUUGAUCCAAGUUACACAGCUAAUCAACGGUAGAGAUUACAGUGGAGUCUUAUCCACCACAAGGCCCGUAUUCUUCCACGUGUUGUGACAUCUCAGUGCUCUCUGGCUUCUGGAGUCUUGGGUUGGUAAAUGUUGAUUAUCAUCUCCAUAGCAACAGUCCUGCUCUGCACCCUCACCCCACAUACCUCCCUCACUUUCUGUACUUCUCAUUAGCCUCAGGGCCUGCUCCCUUGGUGAAUAAAGCCAACUGCUGUGAGCCCUAACAUCCAUAAUCUCCCACACAGUCUCCAAAUACCUUUAUCUGGCCACACUCCCUAUUAUUGCUGCAAGUCCUUCUUCAGCCUUUCUCUCUCUCUCUCUCUCUCUCUCUCUCUCUCUCUCUCUCUUUCUUUCUUUCCUUCUCUCUCUCUCUCUUUCUUCCUUCCUUCCUUCCUUCCUUCCUUCCUUCCUUCCUUCCUUUCUUUCUUUCUUUCUUUCUUUCUUUCUUUCUUUCUUUCUUUCUCUUUCACAUUUUUUAUAAUUGUAUGC